GACGAACGCUGGCGGCGUGCCUAAUACAUGCAAGUAGAACGCUGAAGGAGGAGCUUGCUUCUCCGGAUGAGUUGCGAACGGGUGAGUAACGCGUAGGUAACCUGCCUGGUAGCGGGGGAUAACUAUUGGAAACGAUAGCUAAUACCGCAUAAUAGCAGUUGUUGCAUGACAACUAUUUGAAAGGUGCAAUUGCACCACUACCAGAUGGACCUGCGUUGUAUUAGCUAGUUGGUGGGGUAACGGCUCACCAAGGCGACGAUACAUAGCCGACCUGAGAGGGUGAUCGGCCACACUGGGACUGAGACACGGCCCAGACUCCUACGGGAGGCAGCAGUAGGGAAUCUUCGGCAAUGGACGGAAGUCUGACCGAGCAACGCCGCGUGAGUGAAGAAGGUUUUCGGAUCGUAAAGCUCUGUUGUAAGAGAAGAACGAGUGUGAGAGUGGAAAGUUCACACUGUGACGGUAUCUUACCAGAAAGGGACGGCUAACUACG
rnacentral:rRNA from 1 species